rnacentral:rRNA from 1 species
UACGUAGGCAGCAAGCGUUGUUCGGAAUUACUGGGCGUAAAGGGUGUGCAGGCGGAGGCUCAAGUGGUGUAUGAAAGCGCCCGGCUCAACCGGGCGAGGUUAUGCCAGACUGGGUUUCUGGAGACCGAGAGGGGCGUGGAAUUCCGGGUGUAGUGGUGAAAUGCGUAGAGAUCCGGAGGAACCCCAGAGGCGAAGGCGGCGCCCUAGCUCGGUUCUGACGCUGAGACACGAAAGCAUGGGGAGCGAACGGG